rnacentral:rRNA from 1 species
AGGAUAAACGCUGGCGGCGUGCCUAACACAUGCAAGUCGAACGCGCUUUUUUCGCAAGAGGAGAGCGAGUGGCGGACGGGUGAGUAACACAUGGGUACCUACCUUGGAGUGAGGGAUACCGGCGAGAAAUCGCCGACAAUACCGCAUACGCUUCUCUUCACCGGGAAGCAAAGUUGCGCAAGCGACGCUCUGAGAUGGGCCUGUGGCCGAUUAGCUAGUUGGUGGGGUAACGGCCUACCAAGGCGACGAUCGGUAGCUGGUCUGAGAGGACGAUCAGCCACACUGGGAUUGAGAACGGCCCAGACUCCUACGGGGGGCAGCAGUGAGGAAUUUUCCGCAAUGGACGCAAGUCUGACGGAGCAACGCCGCGUGCAGGAUGAAGGUUUUCGGAUCGUAAACUGCUUUUCGUCGGGGACGAGCAAGGACGGUACCCGAGGAAGAACGCCCCGGCUAACUACGCGCCAGCAGCCGC